AAUGGUAGUUUUUCUCCGCCUCUUCAUUUUUUUUUCUUCUCUUCAUGGCGAACUACCCAGAUCUCUCAAAAACGAACAUAAUCUUCCAAAAAUCAAAGCAAUCUUCUUUAAAACCAAUCCGAAUUUGUGAGAUCUGCUGGACUCAAUCUGAUUUGUGAAAUGGGUUUCGAGUUCAAGCUAUUUUUAUCUCUUUUCUUUUUUUCAGAUGAGGGUUGAAACCCUUACUUAUUUGUAAGAUCUUUCAACUCAUCUCACAAAUAUAAUCCCGUCUUUCAUAAACCUAAUCAAUAUUUGGUCAUCCAAAUCUCGGUUUAAACCCUAGAUAUGAUUUUGUCCUUCAAAAACAGCUAGCAAACUAUUCUCUCUAUUUUUCUGAAUUUGAGGUUUGAGUUUGAUUACUCUUACUGUGUAUGUUCACAUCAGUUAUUGAUUUUAUAGAUUUUUUUUGUUUAGUUUUGAUUUUCGCAUUUAUAAGUAGACAGAAUCGUUAAGGUUUAACAAUUGGAGGGUUCUUUUUCGUUUGGAUAUUGUUUAGUUUAUUUCUAAUAGAAUUUAAUCGCUUGGAUCUGAGAUUUAUGGGUUUGUGUUGUGUUAAUCUGGUUGUUUUGUUUUUUCUUGUUGAUACCUGAAAUUAUUGAUUCUGAAAAGAAUGAGUGACCCUUCGGUUCAGGCAAGCAUAAUUUUCACUUGCUUACUUGAAGCACCGAGUAUAUAUGAAAGCUUUACCUUUUGGUUUGUUGGAUAUUUCGAGGUAUAUGUAAUUGAAUCAUACACAUCAAAUUUGAUUAUCUUUCUUUUGUCAUAGUGUUCGGAUAUCUGACAGUUGCAAGAGUAAGUGCUUUUACUGCAGCAGCAGCAGCAGCUCACAUUGGCAACAGGUGAUAAGUCACCAUCUUCUAAACAGCAGGAUCACGGAAAGCUAUGUAUCUAGAACAUGUUCAGAUUGACGGAGGAGAAUACUGUACAGAGAUUUUUUGCUAAGCAUAUCACAAAAACUGUCUUAACGAUAUCACAAGGAAAAUCAUAUCCCCUACAGUUCCCCUGGAUUGAUGUUGUUUAGUCACUACCAAGCCAAUAUUAACAACAAUGUUGCUGCGUGUAGAAGAGAGUGAGAGUAUUUUGCAAGUGUCCCUGAGAACAGGCGUUUCACUCAUGGGGUAUCCCACAAAUGAUUCCAUAUCUAGUAGAUUCUGCCAUCAGAGCUAGUUCAGUUGUGUAUCGAAUUUCCCCAUACUCCCCUCAGGAAAUAUAUACUCACCAGUUGGAUUAAUUGUAGCACUAGAGAGGUCCGAGAGGAUGUAAAUGGUGGGUUCUACUCAGAUAAUCUGGUAUGUACAUUUUGCAAAUGUAUUCUUUGGGUUCAUGAUUGCCUGAUGCGAGCUUGGACUUACUUUUGGGUUUCUUAUAAAGCCAUGAAGAAAAAAAAACAGCGAUUGGCAGCAAGCACGGGAUGUUGGAGUUGUUCUUGGAGCUAAUACAGUUGAAAAUUAAGGCUAAGAACGAGCAGUGCAGUUGAAAGUUAAGGCUAACACUACGCCAAAUCCAGGCUAAGAACAAGAGGAGGCCAAAUCCAGGCUAAGAACGAGAGGUGCGAGUAAAUCUAUUGCUUAUUUCCUUGUGCUUGACAUAAAUUUAAGACAAUACAUGGGAGAUUGGCUUCAGAGGAAUUGAAACACAUUAGACAUGCAGUUGGUUUCUCAGCAUGGCUCUUUUAUCUAGUCCAGCAUGAGAAUAUUGAUGACCGCGGAUUCAUCAAUGGAACUUCGUUUUUAUUAGUCGGUGAACAUAUCAGAGUAGUGUUAUUGCCUGCAUAGGUGUGGGUUCAAACUAAGUUCAUAAUGUUGUAAAUUGUUGCAAGGAUGAGUAAUAUAUUGUCUUAUCAGGUCAUGGUUCUAUAUUAUUUGUAAAUACUAGAAUUCCGAAAAUACUAAUACAGAUUUU